rnacentral:rRNA from 1 species
AUGGGCAUGAUGGACAGGGAAAAUGGGGAGGCCAUCGGAAAGGAAAUUGGCGAGGUCAUUGAUGUGGAUGUUGAUGAGAAUGAGAUGGCGACUGGGGAAUUCAUGAGAAUAAAGGUCAAGUUAGAUAUUACUAAACCUCUUAUGAGAGGGAUAACAAUUAUAGUAGAUGAUGAUGAGGAGGAAGAAGAGGAAGUUGAAGAUAGAGAAUUGCUAGAGGAUGUGGAUGAAUUGCAAAACAAGAAGAAAAAGGAGCGUGUUGUAUCUUUUAAAUACGAGUUCUUGCCUGAUUUCUGUUAUGCUUGUGGUGUAAUUGGCCACCAAGACAGGUACUGCGUAGCUCUAGUCAAAGCAAGGAAAGGUGAUUAUGGACCAUGGAUGAAAGCAGAGAUCGUGAAGCGGAAUUCUAGCGAUGAGGAGAAGAGUAGGAGUUCAAAUGACAGAGCGGGCUUCUGGACAAACAAUAGUGAAGGGGGCCGAGGAAGUAAGAAAGGCAGUGAUGCUAUCUCAUGGAAGAAAAGCUCGACAAGCCAAGAAGGAGAGGUAAGAGCUAAAGCAAAUGAGGAAAAGGAAGUUACCAGCCCCAUGAAAAUUGGAAAUGGAGUUACUGAACAACGAGUAAAAGGGAAGAUACUUGACUUUAAUGAAGAAACACAGGAUAAACUCCUGAAGGAGAAGAUGGAAACCUUUGCGGACAAGCGAAAUAAUGAAGGAAAUAAACAAGAAGCAAUGGUUGUUGACAAAGGAGCAGCAAAAGAGCAGGGUGAGAAUAGGGCAGGAACUGACAUGGGACAACCAAAAGGAGAGAAUGCACAACAUGAAGCAGCUGAAUUGUUAAGUAAGGAUAUAACCAGGAAGGUAGAGAAAGAAGCAGGGGUGGCACAAAGAGACUAUGGAAAAUGUGCAAGUGAGGACAAUGCUCAGGAGAGUAGGAAGAAGAGCAAGAAAGUAACCAUCAAGAGGCAAGAACGGACAAAGAGCGCCCAGGAACAAACCAAGUUGAUCCCAGACUCAAGGAAGCAUGGUACGGACUACAUGGAGAUAGAUGAUACACUAGAACCAGGGAAAAAGCAAGUAUGGAGGUGA